rnacentral:rRNA from 1 species
GUUGGCUUAGAAGCAGCCACCCUUGAAAGAGUGCGUAAUAGCUCACUGGUCAAGUGAUUCCGCGCCGACAAUGUAGCGGGGCUCAAGUUAUCCACCGAAGCUAUGGCAUUCACACGUGUGCUAGGCCGGCUUGUCCGGUCCAGGUGUGUGGAUGGGUAGGGGAGCGUCGUAUGGCGAGUGAAGCGGCGGUGUGAACCAGUCGUGGACGCCAUACGAGUGAGAAUGCAGGCAUGAGUAGCGAAUGAGGAGUGAGAAACUCCUCCGCCGAAUGAUCAAGGGUUCCAGGGUCAAGCUAAUCUGCCCUGGGUAAGUCGGGACCUAAGGCGAGGCCGACAGGCGUAGUCGAUGGACAACGGGUUGAUAUUCCCGUACCGGCAAAA